UACGUAGGCAGCGAGCGUUGUUCGGAAUUACUGGGCGUAAAGAGUGUGUAGGCGGUGCUCUAAGUUCGGUGUGAAAUCUCCCGGCUCAACCGGGAGGGUGCGCCGAAAACUGGGAGACUAGAGUGCGGGAUGGGAGAGUAGAAUUCCUGGUGUAGCGGUGAAAUGCGUAGAUAUCAGGAGGAAUACCGGUGGUGUAGACGGCUCUCUGGACCGCCACUGACGCUGAGACACGAAAGCGUGGGUAGCAAACAGG
rnacentral:rRNA from 1 species